GAAAUCUUCGGGUCUUGAGAGGAUAUUUUUACAAACCUCCCGUCUUUCGCCCCUGAUCCCGCAUCCGGCAUCUCCCAUUUCUCCUCCGGCACCUGCCCCGACUCCGCGGACGCCGUCCGCUGCCUACAACGUCUCCGGCGAGCUCCCCUGCCCCGCCAAGCAAGGAUGACUACUUAAGGCGUCUUGCUGACAGGAAGAGUGCGAAGUUUCAGAAGAACAUCACAAAGAGGGGCUCAGUGCCUGAAACUACUGUGAAGAAGGGGAAUGACUAUCCUGUUGGACCUAUCGUGCUUGGAUUCUUCAUCUUUGUGGUCAUAGGAUCAUCCUUGUUUCAGAUUAUCAGGACGGCUACUAGUGGUGGGAUGGCUUAAUAUCGAGCUAAAAACAAGACUAUCAUGAUCAGAGAUUUAUUAUCCAUGUGUUUGGGAGGCAAUAUCAUAUGUACCCUGUAGCAAACUUGCCCCUGAUGAUGUUAUGUAGAGAUUUAAAUCUUGUGCAGUCGUGUUUACCUCCUGUUACUAAGAACCUAGUCUAAACUAGAAACAAAAUGGUGCAAGUUGAAACUUUAAAAUUAUAUAAAACUUCAAAUAUGCAAGUUAAUAUUUUUUUUCUUUCUCUGUGAUGACACUUAGAAUAUCGGUAACUGGUACCAUAUCGGUUGGGUGUUGAGUAGAGAUUAAUCGGUGAAUCGGUCAUUUAACUGAAUUUAUCGGUAACCCAUUUAUGAAAGGUUAACUAGGGUCAUACAUGUAUGUCCUAGGCUAUUUAGCAGCAUGUAAUGUACUAAGUGUCUAAAUGUGCAAGCAAC
rnacentral:rRNA from 1 species